rnacentral:lncRNA from 1 species
CUUGGUAUUUUCAGCAGUUUCAUAGUGAUUCUCAAACAUCCUUCAAGUCUUAUAAAGUGCGAUUAAGCCCCAUCUUUUCCAAAGUGUAUGUAUGAUUCUAAGAACUUUACAUUUAUCCAUGUUAAAUGUCAGGCCUCUGGGCCCAAGCCUACAUGCAUACAUCCAGAUGGCCUGAAGUAACUGAAGAAUGACAAAAGAAGUGAAAAUGGCCGGUUCCUGCCUUAACUGAUGACGUUACCUUGUGAAAUUCCUUCUCCUGGCUCAGAAGCUCCCCCACUGAGCACCUUGUGACCCCCCACCCCUGCCCGCCAGAGAACAACCCCCUUUGACUGUAAUUUUCCACUACCUACCCAAAUCCUAUAAAACGUCCCCACCCCUAUCUCCCUUCACUGACUCUCUUUUUGGACUCAGCCCGCCUGCACCCAGGUGAUUAAAAAGCUUUCUUGCUCACACAAAGCCUGUUUGGUGGUCUCUUCGCAUGGACACACGUGAUAUUUGGUGCUGUGACUCAGAUCAGGGGACCUCCCUUGGGAAAUCAAUCCCCUGUCCCCCUGCUCUUUGCUCCAUGAGAAAGAUCCACCCAUGACCUCUGGUCCUCAGACCAACAAGCCCAAGGAACAUCUCACCGAUUUUAAAUUGGAAGACAGGAAUGUCAGGCCUCUGGGCCCAGGCCUGCACGUAUACAUCUAGAUGACCUGAAGUAACUGAAGAAAGACAAAAGAAGUGAAAAUGGCCGGUUCCUGCCUUAACUGAUGACGUUACCUUGUGAAAUUCCUUCUCCUGGCUCAGAAGCUCCCCCACUGAGCACCUUGUGACCCCCCACCGCUGCCCGCCAGAGAACAACCCCCUUUGACUGUAAUUUUCCACUACCUACCCAAAUCCUAUAAAACGUCCCCACCCCAUCUCCCUUCACUGACUCUCUUUUCGGACUCAGCCUGCCUGCACCCAGGUGAUUAAAAA